UACAUGGGGUGCAAACGUUGCUCGGAAUUAUUGGGCGUAAAGCGCGCGUAGGCGGUUACUUAAGUUGGAUGUGAAAGCCCUCGGCUUAACUGAGGAAGUGCACCCGAAACUGAGUAGCUAGAGUACCAAAGAGGGUCGCGGAAUUCCCGGUGUAGAGGUGAAAUGCGUAGAUAUCGGGAGGAACAUCAGUGGCGAAGGCGGCUAUCUGGACUAACACUGACACUGAGACACGAAAGCGUGGGGAGCAAACAGG
rnacentral:rRNA from 1 species